rnacentral:ribozyme from 1 species
UGUAAGUACAAAAAAAAAAAAAAAAAUGGAUUUUCACCAAUUUUCCCAUUUUUUGAAAGGCACAAAUGUUCCUCUUUUGUUUUUUUCCCAGGACAUAUUGCAUAUAUUGAGCUGAAAUUGUAUGAGAAGAUGGCCCUAGAUGAGAGCUACAAAAUAAGCACUCAUUGGCUUCAAUUGGAUACAUUGACAAGAAGUGACACUGUAUUUUCUUUUCUUUUUUUUUUAGUAUUUUCUGGGAAUUUUACAAGAAUUCCACAAAAAAUAUAUUUUUUGUAAGUUGAGAUUAUUCUUUUUAUGCUCUGCACAGUGGUUCCAAAUGAACCUUUUGAUCAAUAUUUUGACAGUCCUGACAUAUAUCUUACUCCCCUAUAAAAAGAAACAGAGCAAUUCCAUUGAUUUAUCCUUGAGAUACAUGGCUCCAAAUAUUGGCAUUCCCUGAAAAAGGGGGUAUGGAAAAAGCACAAAUCAGU